ensembl:lncRNA
AGCUUGACUGUUGGAGGGAGAGGGGCUGAAGGCGGUUGGUGGUGGGCAGGUGGGGAGCUUGGGGGUCCCGAAUUUAAAAGAAUGGACAGAUAGAAGCUGAGAAAGGUAGCUGUAGGCUGGUCGUUUCUGCUGGGCACAAGUCUCCCCAGGGACGUGCUUUUCCAUUCUUUGUCCUUCCUUGUAAGGAGAGACCCUGACAUUCCUUGGUAACUGCAAGUGGUGCCAGUAAGUGAAGUUGGCUGUUGUGUCCGUUACUUCCUCAGGAAUUUUUUUUUUUUCGCCUUCUUUCAAUGUGGUUUUAAAUUUGGGGACUGAGGAUAACCUGAAUGUCCCACAGGCCAAGAUAUGUUUACACCUCCAGAGUGACGUGCACACCAAGAGGCAGCCCCACAGCCUCCCUCUUGUGAGCCUGUGGGUCGGUGAGUGGGGCCCAAGAUGCUUGAGAGAGAGAAGUCGUCCUAAACAGGUCCCAAAGUUUGAGGCAGACUGGCCAGGACUGUGCCCAGGCAGAAGCGUGAGUUGUCCACAGCGAGCCCAGGAGGGAGGGGAGACGCACGGAGGCACUCUGCAGGCAGAAGGCCGUAGACACUCCUUUCUCGGUCCUGGACCACAGCGCUUCAGGAAUGGGCCACCCCAGUGAGCGGUCCCAGCCCAGAGGCCUCUGAGAGGCCUUUCUGUGAGUGUAUAACCUCCAGGUACCACAGUCUCCACCAGCGCUCAGAGAGGACCCUGCUCCAGGCAGAUCUGACUCCUUCUGAGCCUUUCUUCUUGCUCCCAAUUCUCACCAAGAUCUCCUCUCAGCCCCUCCCUCUUCCUGUCAGCUCAUAGGACGGGCUCCUGAGGGCCUCGACCCCUCAGCCCCUCCCUUUUUCUUUAUACUGUAUGUGGAGUGUUUAUUUGGGAUUUGCAGUUGUUUAUCUUUUGUUUGUGUAUUUUAAGAGUACAAGAUAAAGGAGGAAGCCCAGGUGUAAAGUCCCAAUUACUGGGGGGAGGAGAGAAACAACGCGGUUUACCUGUAACUUCCAAGGGGAUGAGGAGACCCUCAGGGCCAGUGGCAGGAGGGUAUUCCCCGGGUGUGGACGUGCCGGGGGAAGCAUCCUCCAUGGCUGCUAAUAUUCUUGGUGCUUCCCCUGCCUCUUCGAUGGCUGGAGCCCACAAUGCUGCUCCCUUCUCCUCCCAUCACCUCACCCCCACGGGUGGAACAAACAAGAGUCUUAUUUCACAGAGUGGGAAGCUGAGGUACAGCCACAAGGGACGCUGAAGAGGCCUCUCCUGAGAGAGGCUGCCCCACCCCGAGCCUCUUCUCCUCAUGGUGCUCGGAGGAGACCCUCUACUGCGAAACUAAAGGACCCUUCCUCCCGUUCGGAAAGGCCGCUCUGCGGUGAAAGUUUCAGACAUUCAAGGGAGACCAUUUUUUUUGUAACUAUAAAUCUUUGCUCCCAAAUACAAUUAUUUGUUUUAUUAGGGGGAGUAUCCAACUUUAUAAAAUAUAUAGGAUUUUGGCUUAUAAAAAUAAUACCUACUCAUUAGAGUCCCAAUUAAAUUUCUUGAGUAGACCAGUGACUACCCCAAAGCAAAACAAAACAAAACAAAACAAAACAAAAUCCCUAAUAAAUAAAAAUAGAUUUCUGUUUGUAUUGGCAGAGAUAGUGAGGUGGGCCAUGGGCCCGGGGGUCCUUGGUCGGCAAGCCCACCUUCCCUCCCCUCCGCCUCUGUUACUGCUGUCCAGUCCUGGCUUUCCGGGCUGCCCCUGGUGUUGGCGAAUCCUACACAGUUCUCAUCAGUCAACUUCCCCCAAACUGCAGGGAGAGCCUGUUAGGGAUGGGUCGUGGAAGGACCCAGGUCCUCUUCCCCGAGAAUGCAAACGUUCAUGGCAAAUAGGUGUAUGCAGCUCAUCUUCCACCGGUUUCUUUAUCUGGAAUUAGAACUUCUUCUGUUAGUAUCUUUGCUCUUACGAUGCAAGCACAUUUUGGAAGGGCUGCCUUACAAAAGUAGAAUUCAAAACAGGGCAUACAGUUAAAGAGCAAUGCAAAAGACACUUAAGAGACUGAGACCACUUUACCAAAUAGGACUAUUGAGCGCAAUUCAGGCACACGGCUGAGUUGGGAUAGUGUCCUCGUAUGUUCUCCUUCCCUCUUCCUCCCCCAAUAUUCCCGUCAGCUUGUUGGCUCAUUAAACUUUCCGUUCUUUAAAAAGAAAAGCUAGUUUACCUCAAAGAAUCUUGUUUCCAUUUGGAAACCAAUGGCUUUGUGUUUUAGAGUGGAUGACCCUCCUCUCCAUCACUGCCUGCCUGGGCCUGGUGUCCUUGAGGCCCAGGGUCUGGCUUAGUCACAUGUUGGCUGUGCUGACCAAGAACAAGAACCCCAGGCCCUGAGAUGGGAAGGAAGAAUUGGAUGCAGCUGCCCUCCUCCCCACUUUAGCUUGUAGAGACCAGCCUAUUUCUUCCAUCAGGGUCCUGCCAUGUUACCAUAGCAACCAGCAACUCCAGGGUACCGCAACAGACAGUGGCUUAGUGAGCCAAGGCGUGGAGGGAGAGGAGUUUGGCCUGGUCAGAUGACCCAGAGUGAAGUCUCAAACACUAGAGGAAAGGGAAGGAAAAGGAAAGAUGGAUGGGUGGUUUAAAGAACAGGCAGGGACCUUUGAGCACCAGAAAGAAGCCACCGAAGGGUGGUCAUUCCUGCUCCAGUCACCCCCUUCCCGCUGCGCCCCACUUCAGUUUCCAUAAAGCUCCCACCUUGAACACUGACCCUUUGUUAGAACAAAGCAAAACAUAUCUUUAGACAACAGUGUUAUAAUGAGCCUCAAAGAUAGGUGGAUGAAAUCUAUUAGAGGAAGGGGUCUUCUGGUUUUGAUUUUUAAAGAAGAGUAUCCUAGUAAGAUUAAAAAAAAAAAGAUUUUAAAAAAAAGUUUUUAAAAAGGAAACCUAUGCUAUUUAAAUUGGAGCCCAGUUGUAACUUGGUAAAGGCAAGCUUCUGUACCUUUGUUAUAAUUAAUUGUAUACCUGUGUAUGUAAAUAUAAGGCAUUCCUAUUUUGCAGUUC